rnacentral:rRNA from 1 species
CCUACGGGGUGCAGCAGUCGAGAAUCAUUCACAAUGGGGGAAACCCUGAUGGUGCGACGCCGCGUGGGGGAAUGAAGGUCUUCGGAUUGUAAACCCCUGUCAUGUGGGAGCAAAUUAAAAAGAUAGUACCACAAGAGGAAGAGACGGCUAACUCUGUGCCAGCAGCCGCGGUAAUACAGAGGUCUCAAGCGUUGUUCGGAAUCACUGGGCGUAACGCGUGCGUAGGCUGUUUCGUAAGUCGUGUGUGAAGGGCGCGGGCUCAACCCGCGGACGGCACAUGAUACUGCGAGACUAGAGUAAUGGAGGGGGAACCGGAAUUCUCGGUGUAGCAGUGAAAUGCGUAGAUAUCGAGAGGAACACUCGUGGCGAAGGCGGGUUCCUGGACAUUAACUGACGCUGAGGCACGAAGGCCAGGGGAGCGAAAGGGAUUAGAUACCCUGGUAGUC